rnacentral:lncRNA from 1 species
CGAAGCGCUGGCUGCUUGUGCCUUUGAAGUCUCCUGACCCGGGUGGGCUCGGGUUGAGAGACUGAGCCAAGCCGCCCUGGACGGCCCAGAGAUGGGGACACCAAGAGACUCCCGCGGCAGUGGCAACGACCUGGUCCUCUUCUCCCUGGAACCUCCUGGCCGGGCGGGGCCUCGAGCGCUACACCCUCCAGAGAAUCAAGAAUCUGAUGCUUGGACCGGUUUAAGGUCACUUGACUGGCCAGACAGAUCCAGGCCGUGCUUGGAGAGCUGAUGAACAGAGGGAGUACUGUUGUAAGUUCUCCAAGGGAAAUAAACAGGGUAAUAAAAUUGUAACUGGGAAGCCCACUUUAGAUCUGGUGUGUGUGGUGGGGAGAAACCUUUCUGCAGAGUGGAUAUUUCAGUGGAGACCUGAAAGAUGAGAAAGAGACAGCCACAAAAAGAGGUAGGGUGGAAGGGGGAAAGUAUUUCAUGCAGAGGAAAGAGCAAGUGCAAAGACGUUGGCAUAGGAAAGGGCUUUGGUGGUCAAGAAACACCAAGGAGGCCAGUGUGACAGAAACAUAGCGAGUCAGGGAGAAAGUGGGAGACUUGAGGUCACAGUGGAAGGAAGGGAGGGAAUUGGCCUCAGGUUAUGACAAGGACUGAGGAUUUUAUUCUAAGAGGAAUAGCCUAGGGAGGCAUUGAGGGCUUUUAACUGGAGCAGUAGCAAAGUCUGAUUCAUAUCUUUGAAAAGACACCUGCUGCUGUUUGGAGGAAGGAUCCUAGUGGGCCAGAGUGGAAGCCAGGAAUCCAGUGAGAUGAGGAGACCAUGGCUGUAAUCCAGGGGAGAGGUGAUAGGCUGCUAGCUCUAAGGUGUGGAGUAGGGAUGGAGGGAAGUAAAUAGAUUCAAAAUAUAUUUUGGAAGCAGG